GAAGAGGAAAACAGCAUCAAUUAAGACUCAGGCUGAGCUUCAACUAGGAUUAGUUCAGCCCCUUUACGUUUUGGUAUCUCUGACUACAAGCUAAAUCUUUUUGUUUCUCAAUAUGCAAAUGAGAAUGGAGGGGGUACAAAAGAGAGGGAGUUAACUUGAGAAACUAUAAAACUCUGUCUGCAAAAAAGUAACAAUUGAUCUUAUCAUGAAGAUCUAUCAUUCACUAUAAAUAAACAUAUUGUACCUCAGCCAAAACUCUAUAACAUCAAAAUAGUUAUUUCUAAUUAUUAGUUUCAUUUUGCCUUUCCUCCCUUCUUUGAUGAGCCGGCCUUGCUUCCCUUUACAGACUUCUUAUUAGGCUUGUUCUUUACUUUCAUAGGUUUCCCAUUUGCUUUUAACUUGCUUGAGGGUUUAGAAGACUUCCACUGCUGAUUCUUUCGAUUCUUCUCUUUCUUCACAGUAUACUUUGAAACAGCCUUAUCAAUGUUAAGUAUCUCGUGUGAAUUCUGUGAGAUUAUUUUGCUUAGAACUUUGUCGGUUUGCUCCUUCUCCUGCCUGCCCAUCCCUGAACUUUCCACGACUGGUAGAAACUUGCGAUGUUUUCCUUGCUUUUUAACAGGCUUUUCUCCUGGCAACUUCUUGUCAAAUUUCCCACCACUGGCAGUUGCAGUUGCAGCUAGUCCAGCUACAUUUCCUAGUUCAUCUUUUGCAACCUUUUUUGGUGCAGCCUGGGUUCCUGUUAUGGGCAAAGCUGUGGCUGCUAGCUGAAUGUGGCUGCAGAAAAGAGUAUUUAGCAAAUGUUACAUAAUGUAAUGAACUAUCAAAUAUGUCAAUGCAGUUGCUGAAAUGAGUCUUUAUUGGUUGCCUUUCUUCCUUCUGUUUAAGAGAACGCUGGAUAAUGACACACGGUUGCUUUUCUGCCUUCAGUUUGAGUGAAUACUGUAUAAAAACUCAAAAGAAUGCCUAAAAAUUGUGGUAUGACGAAGAUAAAUGCCAGGACAAGUAAGAAAAAUAAGAAAAUCACCUAUAUGCUAACAUGCUGAAGAAAUACUUUAAGAGAUAACGUAACAUUCUAAAUUACAUUUUUGCCACUACCUAGCAUUUAAUGAUUCCUGUAAACGAAGAGUUGAGAACAUUCCAACAUGCUUAGAUAAGUAUGUGAUAGCAAUUAUAAAUGUCAGUGACCCAUCAUGUUAUCAAACUCCAUGUACUAAUAAACAGUAUUCCAAGGCAAAAUAAUGAACAUGUUGAUUUAUAUGUCCUAGACAGUGACAAAUCAAAAGAAACAAAAAGAUUUGCUCUCACAUAGGGAUAAGUUUCAUUGCUUAUAAAAACAUUAAAUUGGAAUAAGGAAAUACAUGCUAAAUGAGAGAAAAAGUGAUAAAAGAUGAAAACCUCGGCAAGGCACCAGCUUUUGCUGCUUGUUUCAAGUUCUGCAACCGAUUCUUCUCUUGUUUUACUACUCUUUUCUUCUUCUCUGCUUUUCUCUUGGCAAAUGGAUCCUCCCCUGGCUCAUCAGUCAUCUUGGCCUCAAUGAUGGGAAUAUCUUCAUCGUCAUUAACACGAUCAUAUCCGUAACGACGUUUCCAAGUGCUGGUUUGUUCAUCCCAAACCACUUUAUCUUUCUUCUGUUUCUUUAUACCUUUCGCUUUGGCAAACAAUUCCCAUUUUGUAGGAGGUUUGGGCUUUGGCAAAUGCUUCUCUCUGGGCAAUUUCGUUGUUGGGGAAGGCAACUUGACAAGUGGACCAUCUACAUCUUCAGUUGAAGGUAAGUUGAAAAGACUGACUACAAUAGCUUGAACCAGAUCAGUGCCCUUUCUAACACAUUCCUCCACCAAGUCCUCCCUGGAAGAAGGGACAGAGGGGAAGUGGUGAUGAGGGUCAAAAGACAUCAGAUGGCCAAGGUCGACCUCGUAUUGCUGCUGUUCAGUAUCCAUGGGAGAUCGCUACUU
rnacentral:misc_RNA from 1 species